rnacentral:rRNA from 1 species
UCUCGGUGACAGGAAAUGUGGUGUUUAGGCCGUACCUUGUCCCGACACGUCUCUCCUCAAGUCCACUUGAUUGUGGCCCCAGGCCCAGAGAGGGUGUAAGGCCCGUGGAGGCGAGACGUUCGGUACCUGGUGCGUCCUUAGAGUCGGGUUGUUUGGGAAUGCAGCCCUAAGCGGGUGGUAAACUCCAUCCAAGGCUAAAUACCAGCACGAGUCCGAUAGCGAAGAAGUACCGCGAGGGAAGGUUGAAAAGAACUUUGAAGAGAGAGUUCAAGAGUACGUGAAACCGCUGAGAGGCAAACUGGUGGAACUGAAAUGGUCCCGAGGAAUUCAGCCGUUGGUCGUUGCACAGUCUUUGGUGAUUGAUCUAACGACGGCGCCAUUGAAUGACGUUUCGAUCAUCGGUGCACUUUCCUCGCCUGGGCCCGACCACGACCGGUGAGCUGAUCUGUCUGUCGUGCUUGGAAGAUAGCGCCGUCUUCGGAAGGCGUGUUAUAGACAGGCAUACGGAGCAGUCGGCGCACUGGAUGAUAGUGCCUGCCCAUCUGGGCUCAUAUGGUGGUUGUUUUGUUGGCGAGUUCUGAUGUCACUACUUCGGUAGAGUCGUUAGACUCUGUUGGCAUUAUGGCUGUCCUCUAUGAUUGGCACUGUUAAGUCUGUGGUUGUGAAGUAGGUAGUCCACCUGACCCGUCUUGAAACACGGACCAAGGAGUCUAACAUGUGCGCGAGUCAUUGGGUUCACGAAACCUAAAGGCGCAGUGAAGGUAAAGAUCUGUUUUGGNCAGAUUGAGGUGGGAUGCCGGGUUACGCGCCCGGCCGCNCUACCGGCCCGUUCUAUAUGUCUUUCAUAGGAGCGGAGCA